CUUCCAGUGUGCCUGCCCAAAGGGAGACCUCUCUGCUGGAUCCCAACAAGAGGAGAUGACAAACAAGACAAGCGCAUUUCGUAGCACCCAUGACUCAGAUGGAGCAGAUCAGCUCUUCAGCUAUUGCUUCAUUAACCAAGGCUUGUUUGCUACAGACAUCACCAUCAAGAGUUUCCAGAGAUGCCACUGAAAGGCUUCUCAGUGUUGCAGAAAAAGC
rnacentral:lncRNA from 1 species